AUACGUAGGGGGCGAGCGUUGUCCGGAAUGAUUGGGCGUAAAGGGCGCGUAGGCGGCGCGGUAAGUCUGGAGUGAAAGUCCUGCUUUCAAGGUGGGAAUUGCUUUGGAUACUGCCGCGCUUGAGUGCAGGAGAGGUUAUCGGAAUUCCCGGUGUAGCGGUGAAAUGCGUAGAGAUCGGGAGGAACACCAGUGGCGAAGGCGGGUAACUGGACUGCAACUGACGCUGAGGCGCGAAAGUGUGGGGAGCAAACAGGAUUAGAUACCCUGGUAGUCCACACUGUAAACGAUGAAUGCUAGGUGUAAGAGGUAUCGACCCCUUUUGUGCCGGAGUCAACACAAUAAGCAUUCCGCCUGGGGAGUACGGCCGCAAGGUUGAAACUCAAAUGAAUUGGCGGGA
rnacentral:rRNA from 1 species